GAGCUAACGCGUUAAGUCGACCGCCUGGGGAGUACGGCCGCAAGGUUAAAACUCAAAUGAAUUGACGGGGGCCCGCACAAGCGGUGGAGCAUGUGGUUUAAUUCGAUGCAACGCGAAGAACCUUACCUGGUCUUGACAUCCACGGAAGUUUUCAGAGAUGAGAAUGUGCCUUCGGGAACCGUGAGACAGGUGCUGCAUGGCUGUCGUCAGCUCGUGUUGUGAAAUGUUGGGUUAAGUCCCGCAACGAGCGCAACCCUUAUCCUUUGUUGCCAGCGGUCCGGCCGGGAACUCAAAGGAGACUGCCAGUGAUAAACUGGAGGAAGGUGGGGAUGACGUCAAGUCAUCAUGGCCCUUACGACCAGGGCUACACACGUGCUACAAUGGCGCAUACAAAGAGAAGCGACCUCGCGAGAGCAAGCGGACCUCAUAAAGUGCGUCGUAGUCCGGAUUGGAGUCUGCAACUCGACUCCAUGAAGUCGGAAUCGCUAGUAAUCGUGGAUCAGAAUGCCACGGUGAAUACGUUCCCGGGCCUUGUACACACCGCCCGUCACACCAUGGGAGUGGGUUGCAAAAGAAGUAGGUAGCUUAACCUUCGGGAGGGCGCUUACCACUUUGUGAUUCAUGACUGGGGUGAAGUCGUAACAAGGUAACCGUAGGGGAACCUGCGGUUGGAUCACCUCCUUA
rnacentral:rRNA from 1 species